rnacentral:rRNA from 1 species
GGUUCGAUUCAUUCAGAUUGAACGCUGGCGGAUGCUUUACACAUGCAAGUCGAACGGCAGCACGGACUUCGGUCUGGUGGCGAGUGGCGAACGGGUGAGUAAUGUAUCGGAACGUGCCUAGUAGCGGGGAUAACUACGCGAAAGCGUAGCCAAUACCGCAUAUUGCCUCGUGCGUUAACCUCUAAAAGUCUGCACUAUUAGGAGCGGCCGAUAAUGGAUUAGCUUAGUUGGUGGGGUAACGUGGCUCACCAAGGCGACGAUCCGUAGCUGGUUUGAGAGGACGACCAGCCACACUGGGACUGAGACGGCCCAGACUCUACGGGAGGCAGCAGUGGGAAUUUGGACAAUGGGGAAACCUGAUCCAGCCAUCCGCGUGUGCGAUGAAGGCCUUCGCUGUGCUAACUUUUGGCAGGAAAGAAACGGCACGGGAUAAUACCCCCGUGCAACUGACGGUACCUGCAGAAUAAGCAACGCUAUUAAACCAGCGUGCCGCGGUCGCAUGGUCACUGUGAAGGUGUUGAACGGAAUUAUCAGCGUAAAGCGUGCGAGUAAAGUGGUUCCGGAAGAAAGAUGAAACCCUUUAUUUUUAACUUUGGAACUGCAUUUUUUAACUACCGAGCUAGAGUGUGUCAGAGGAGGUGGAAUUCGCGUGUAGCAGUGAAAUGCGUAGAUAUGCGGAGGAACACCGAUGGCGAAGGCAGCCUCCUGGGAUAACACCGACGCUCAUGCACGAAAGCGUGGGGAGCAAACAGGAUUAGAUACCCUGGUAGUCCACGCCUCAACGAUGUCAACUGAGCCGCUGGGGCCUCGGGCUUCCGCAGCAGCAGCUAACGCGGUGAAGUUGACCGCCUGGGGAGUACGGUCGCAAGAUUAAAACUCAAAGGAAUUGACGGGGACCCGCACAAGCGGUGUGAUGAUGGGAUUAACGGGAUGAACGCAAAACCUUACCUACCCUUGACAUGUCUGGAAUCCCGGAAGAGAUUUGGGAGUACCGCAAGAGAACCGGAAUCACAGGUGCCAUGCCGCGGUGGCUGUCGUCAGUCAAGGUGUCGUGGAGAGCUGCCGGGCGUCCCGCAUGAGCGCGAAACCUUUAUCAGCGAAGUUGCGCCACGAAAGGGCAGCCUGAAUGAGAUCGGGCGGUGGACAAAACCGAUAGCGGUGGGGAGACGCCAAGUCCAGCGGCCCUUAUGGGUAGGGCUUCACACGUCAUACAAUGGUCGGGACAGAGGGUCGCCAACCCGCGAGGGGGAGCCAAUCCCAGAAACCCGAUCGUAGUCCGGACUGCAGUCUGCAACCGACUGCGUGAAGUCGGAAUCGUUAUAAUCGCGGAUCAGCAUGUCGCGGUGAAUACGUUCCCGGCCCUGCACACACCGCCCGUCACACCAUGGGAGUGGGCUUUACCAGAAGUAGUUAGCCUAACCGUAAGGAGGGCGAUUACCACGGUAGGAUUCAUGACUGGGGUGAAGUCGUAACAAGGUAA